UACGAAGGGUGCAAGCGUUACUCGGAAUUACUGGGCGUAAAGCGUGCGUAGGUGGUUUGUUAAGUCUGAUGUGAAAUCCCCGGGCUCAACCUGGGAAUGGCAUUGGAUACUGGCUCGCUAGAGUGCGGUAGAGGGUGGUGGAAUUCCCGGUGUAGCAGUGAAAUGCGUAGAGAUCGGGAGGAACAUCUGUGGCGAAGGCGGCGACCUGGACAAGUACUGACACUCAACUACGGAAGCGUGGGGAGCAAACAGG
rnacentral:rRNA from 1 species